AAUUAAUUCCAAGUCCUUAAUUAUAAUACAUCGAUUAGUUAUUAGUAUCAAUUAGAUCUGCUUAAUUAUUACGCACGGUCCUUGGCUAAUUAAUUUCAAGUCCUUAAUUAGAAUACAUCAAUUAGUUAUUAAGCCUGAUUGUCAUUUAUCGUAAACAUUGGCGAUGCCCAUUGUCGGUGGUCAUUGAUUUACCUCGUUUUUGAAAGAGGACUCCAGUCAGUGGAAAAAUAAUCACCCUAUAUUAAAGAAGGCG